CUUCAGCGACCCCAGCCACAGCGGCCGCCCGGCCGGCCGGUCGCGGCCGUACGCGGCGAUGAGGGCCUGCGCCUC
rfam:Frankia sp. EAN1pec, complete genome.